rnacentral:lncRNA from 1 species
UUUUACGCUGGCGUGGAGCCUCAGACAUCAAAAGGGCUGGAGAGUGAAGCCACGUGUGAGCCGUGAAGUUGGUGACCCUGAGGCACAGAAAGCUGAGGGAAUUUGUUCGAAGUCACACAGCUGGUAAGUGUCCUGGAGUCUACUUUCUUGACCUCUGUGCUGUGCUGCCUCUUGGGUCCAAACCCACAUACCUGAACAUAAAAUGAGCGCUUACACCUAUCCAAAGAACAGAGACAGUGCAGCCUCUCAGGUGAGUGCACCAGUCCCCUGGCCACAGGAGGGACAUGCAGAUUUCUGGGAAUGGUACCCUGUGAGUCAUGACAUUCUUGCUGAAGCUGCAUCAACUGAGACCAGUCCUGCUCCUACUUCUUCGCCGGGCCACAAUGGCUGGGAUAGUGCCUUGCAUGGAUGCUGGCGCUCAGGGGCUGCUGAUGGGCAAUGAGGUAGAUGGUCAGACAUGGACCUACAAAAGCAAGCCUAGGCAGUGCCUCCCAUCCGAGCCUUCUGGGAUGGAGAAGACAAGUCCUUUACAUAAUCUAAAAGAAAUUAGCAACUUCUGGCUCAAGCCUGAGUUUGCAUGUUUGCCUCCCUUGCCUCCUAAAUCCCACUGACAUGACAGCAAAGAUAUAAAAAGGAAAUCAACUCGUAACUGUGCUGAGAACAGCAGGGGUGGCCCUCUGUGCCCAGAGAUUCUGGUGAAUUUCUGAAAGACGGAAGAAGAAGGGAACAUAUGGAGGAAAAAGCUACAGUUUAGAACAUGAUCAGGAAAGUGCUGCCAGCGAUGAGGGAGCAGAUUACCCUCAAACACUGUGUGAAAAAUAUUUACACUAUGUGCAGUAUUAGUUUUAUGAUGAUGAUGAUAUAUAUAACAAAUAACACAUUUUCUCACUUUCAAUCUGCUGAUAAUGGUCUUGGUGACAUUAAGAUGUUUUUUCUCAAGGUGUGUUAGCUGAGCCCUGGGCAGCUGCUGUCAGGCUCCUGUGGGCAGGCGCUUUCAAUCUUGGCUUCUGUGGCCUUGGUAGAGGGCCACAAAAAGCUUCUGAGGUCAUCUGCGAACAUUAUUGCUUCUAUGGGCAUUUUCCUGGGAGACCUUGGAUACAUUGCUUUGACCAGAUUUGCAAAAAACUUAAUGGUCCAAGACUGUCAUUCACUGUCGGAGUUUUUGAUGACUUUUCCAGUUUCCAUGGUUGGGUUGUUGGUUUAUCCAAAGUCAUGUAGCAAGGCCAUGAUGGAGCUGUCGUGGGGCCACAGGUCUCAAGGCUCUGAGUUGGUGCUCUUUGCCACUUCCUAAGUAUCCUUACAAAUGAAAAGGGGCACAUCCAUUUUCUUAAUGAGCAAAGCAGCCAAGAGUGGCACUGAGUUCAGACUCCUCUAAAAAUCUGGUCCAGUCUGGGUGUGGUGGCUCACACCUGUAAUCCCAGCACUUGGGAAGACUGAGGCAGGAGUAUCACCUGAUGCCAGGGGUUCAAGACCAGCCUGGGCAACAUAGUGAGAUCCUGUCUCUAUAAAAAUUGUUGAAAAAAAUUAGUGGUGGCACGUACCUAUAGUCCCAGCUACUUGGGAAUCUGAAGCAGGAGGAUGGCUUGAGUCCAGGAGUCCCAGGCUACAGUGAGCUAUGAUAGCAGCGCUGCACUCCAGCCUGGGUGACAGAGCAAGACCCUGUUUAAAAAAAAAAAUCUGGUCCAGAAACACAGGGUGUGUCCUCAAAAUAAAUCCUGUCCAGAUUCCAAAUUGCUCACGUGUGCCUUGUCUCAAAUAAGAACUACCAUUACAAAGGGAGUGGCAGAGGCAAAGGACAUUCCACUGCUUUUUUUUUGUUCCCUGUGACCUCCCCAAGUGUUUCUUCUCUGCAAAUGCCCAGUAAGAGAUGGCCUUCCCCUCCUCUGUAUCCCCUCUUGGAGAGUCAACACGUCCAACUGAGCCCUCUUGUUGGCACUAAUUGAUGCCAUUGGGUAAUCCUUAAUUACUGCCCACAGUUCCCCAGCAUGUAAUGAGUGGUGAGCCAGUGCCGCGGGGUUCCAACCAGCAGGCCUUAAAAAUCUGAGCUGUUCACACGAGUAGCUGGAGCUGCUCUCUCUCUCUCUGGGUCCCUCCUUGUCUCAGAGUUGCAUCAUGCUGGGGAAAUUUGCCCAAUAUCUGUACACGGACCCGUGGAGGCUGCUGGUGCACAUCUGUUGGCCAUCCCUGGCCAGAAACCACAGCAAUCAGCUGGAAUGGGCUUAAUGGCCCAUGCCUUGUCUCAAUCUGUAGGCACAUCUAAAGAUUUGGCUUAGGGAGGUUCCCAGCUGAUUGGCUGCCAGCUGGCUUCUGGAUAGACAACUGUCUUUUGUGGUUAUCCCAUUCUUGGCCUAGGUGGACAUUUUCAAAGUUCUCCUAGCUUUAAAUUAUUCAUAGGCAGUUAGAGGGAGUCAGGGAGGGUUUGCCUAAAGCGCCGUUUUCACUCUAAGUUCUCAUUUAAGGCAGGUUGGUGCUGGAGGAAGGUCACACCCUUUGGGUUCAGACAUAACUUGGCUUAUUCAGAGGACUAAAUAAGUUAAUACAGUAGGUGGCCCUUUAUCUUUGGGGGCAUGUUCCAAGACCCCCAUUGAAUGCCUGAGACCUUGAAUAGUAUAGAACCCUAUAUACACUAUGUUUUUUUCCUAUACAUAUGUAGCUAUAAUAAAGUUUAAUUUAUAAAUUAGGCACAGUAAGAGAUUAACAACUGAUAAGAAAAAAUUUAUAAUAAUAUAAGGUAAUAAAAGUUAUGUGAAUGUA